GAUGAACGCUGGCGGCGUGCCUAAUACAUGCAAGUCGAGCGAACGGACGAGAAGCUUGCUUCUCUGAUGUUAGCGGCGGACGGGUGAGUAACACGUGGAUAACCUACCUAUAAGACUGGGAUAACUUCGGGAAACCGGAGCUAAUACCGGAUAAUAUUUUGAACCGCAUGGUUCAAAAGUGAAAGACGGUCUUGCUGUCACUUAUAGAUGGAUCCGCGCUGCAUUAGCUAGUUGGUAAGGUAACGGCUUACCAAGGCAACGAUGCAUAGCCGACCUGAGAGGGUGAUCGGCCACACUGGAACUGAGACACGGUCCAGACACCUACGGGAGGCAGCAGUAGGGAAUCUUCCGCAAUGGGCGAAAGCCUGACGGAGCAACGCCGCGUGAGUGAUGAAGGUCUUCGGAUCGUAAAACUCUGUUAUUAGGGAAGAACAUAUGUGUAAGUAACUGUGCACAUCUUGACGGUACCUAAUCAGAAAGCCACGGCUAACUACGUGCCAGCAGCCGCGGUAAUACGUAGGUGGCAAGCGUUAUCCGGAAUUAUUGGGCGUAAAGCGCGCGUAGGCGGUUUUUUAAGUCUGAUGUGAAAGCCCACGGCUCAACCGUGGAGGGUCAUUGGAAACUGGAAAACUUGAGUGCAGAAGAGGAAAGUGGAAUUCCAUGUGUAGCGGUGAAAUGCGCAGAGAUAUGGAGGAACACCAGUGGCGAAGGCGACUUUCUGGUCUGUAACUGACGCUGGUGUGCGAAAGCGUGGGGAUCAAACAGGAUUAGAUACCCUGGUAGUCCACGCCGUAAACGAUGAGUGCUAAGUGUUAGGGGGUUUCCGCCCCUUAGUGCUGCAGCUAACGCAUUAAGCACUCCGCCUGGGGAGUACGACCGCAAGGUUGAAACUCAAAGGAAUUGACGGGGACCCGCACAAGCGGUGGAGCAUGUGGUUUAAUUCGAAGCAACGCGAAGAACCUUACCAAAUCUUGACAUCCUUUGACAACUCUAGAGAUAGAGCCUUCCCCUUCGGGGGACAAAGUGACAGGUGGUGCAUGGUUGUCGUCAGCUCGUGUCGUGAGAUGUUGGGUUAAGUCCCGCAACGAGCGCAACCCUUAAGCUUAGUUGCCAUCAUUAAGUUGGGCACUCUAAGUUGACUGCCGGUGACAAACCGGAGGAAGGUGGGGAUGACGUCAAAUCAUCAUGCCCCUUAUGAUUUGGGCUACACACGUGCUACAAUGGACAAUACAAAGGGCAGCGAAACCGCGAGGUCAAGCAAAUCCCAUAAAGUUGUUCUCAGUUCGGAUUGUAGUCUGCAACUCGACUACAUGAAGCUGGAAUCGCUAGUAAUCGUAGAUCAGCAUGCUACGGUGAAUACCUUCCCGGGUCU
rnacentral:rRNA from 1 species